rnacentral:rRNA from 1 species
UACGUAGGCAGCGAGCGUUGUUCGGAAUUACUGGGCGUAAAGGGUGUGUAGGCGGUGCUCCCAGUCUGUUGUGAAAUCUCCCGGCUUAACUGGGAGGGUGCAGCGGAAACUAGAGUGCUAGAGGGUGGGAGAGGUAAGCGGAAUUCCUGGUGUAGCGGUGAAAUGCGUAGAUAUCAGGAGGAACACCUGUGGUGUAGACAGCUUACUGGACCACUUCUGACGCUGAGACACGAAAGCGUGGGUAGCAAACAGG